rnacentral:rRNA from 1 species
GAUGAACGCUGGCGGCGUGCCUAAUACAUGCAAGUCGAGCGAACGGACGAGAAUCUUGCUUCUCUGAUGUUAGCGGCGGACGGGUGAGUAACACGUGGAUACCCUCCCUAUAAGACUGGGAUAACUUCGGGAAACCGGAGCUAAUACCGGAUAAUAUUUUGAACCGCAUGGUUCAAAAGUGAAAGACGGUCUUGCUGUCACUUAUAGAUGGAUCCGCGCUGCAUUAGCUAGUUGGUAAGGUAACGGCUUACCAAGGCAACGAUGCAUAGCCGACCUGAGAGGGUGAUCGGCCACACUGGAACUGAGACACGGUCCAGACUCCUACGGGAGGCAGCAGUAGGGAAUCUUCCGCAAUGGGCGAAAGCCUGACGGAGCAACGCCGCGUGAGUGAUGAAGGGCUUCGGAUCGUAAAACUCUGUUAUUAGGGAAGAACAUAUGUGUAAGUAACUGUGCACAUCUUGACGGUACCUAAUCAGAAAGCCACGGCUAACUACGUG